rnacentral:rRNA from 1 species
GUGGGGAAUAUUGGACAAUGGGCGCAAGCCUGAUCCAGCCAUACCGCGUGAGUGAUGAAGGCCUUAGGGUUGUAAAGCUCUUUCAGUGGGGACGAUAAUGACGGUACCCACAGAAGAAGCCCCGGCUAACUUCGUGACAGCAGCCGCGGUAAUACGAAGGGGGCUAGCGUUGUUCGGAUUUACUGGGCGUAAAGCGCACGUAGGCGGAUCGUUAAGUCGGGGGUGAAAUCCUGGAGCUCAACUCCAGAACUGCCUUCGAUACUGGCGAUCUUGAGUCCGGAAGAGGUGAGUGGAACUCCUAGUGUAGAGGUGGAAUUCGUAGAUAUUAGGAAGAACACCAGUGGCGAAGGCGGCUCACUGGUCCGGUACUGACGCUGAGGUGCGAAAGCGUGGGGAGCAAACAGGAUUAGAAACCCUGGUAGUCC